UACGAAGGGGGCUAGCGUUGCUCGGAAUCACUGGGCGUAAAGCGCACGUAGGCGGAUCGUUAAGUCGGAGGUGAAAUCCCAGAGCUCAAACUCUGGAACUGCCUUUGAUACUGGGUAUCUUGAGUAUGGAAGAGGUGAGUGGAAUUCCGAGUGUAGAGGUGAAAUUCGUAGAUAUUCGGAGGAACACCAGUGGCGAAGGCGGCUCACUGGUCCAUUACUGACGCUGAGGCGCGAAAGCGUGGGGAGCAAACAGG
rnacentral:rRNA from 1 species